rnacentral:rRNA from 1 species
GACGAACGCUGGCGGCGUGCUUAACACAUGCAAGUCGAACGGAAAGGCCCUGCUUUUGUGGGGUGCUCGAGUGGCGAACGGGUGAGUAACACGUGAGUAACCUGCCCUUGACUUUGGGAUAACUUCAGGAAACUGGGGCUAAUACCGGAUAGGAGCUCCUGCUGCAUGGUGGGGGUUGGAAAGUUUCGGCGGUUGGGGAUGGACUCGCGGCUUAUCAGCUUGUUGGUGGGGUAGUGGCUUACCAAGGCUUUGACGGGUAGCCGGCCUGAGAGGGUGACCGGCCACAUUGGGACUGAGAUACGGCCAAGAUUCUUACGGGAGGCAGAAGUGGGGAAUAUUGCAAAAGGGGCGGAAGCCGGAGGCAGCAACGCCGCGUGCGGGAUGACGGCCUUCGGGUUGUAACCGCUUUCGCCUGUGACGAAGCGUGAGUGACGGUAAUGGGUAAAGAAGCACCGGCUAACUACGUG